rnacentral:tRNA from 1 species
CCUGGUGGCUUAGAUGAUAAAGCACCUGCCCGCAAUGCAGGAGACCCAGAUUCGAUUCCUGGGUCAGGA